rfam:Gossypium arboreum cultivar AKA8401 contig_8030_3, whole genome shotgun sequence.
UAGUAAAAAAUUCAUCAAGUUCUACCAUUAAAAACUGGUUUUGCUGAUAGAAUAACCAAACAAUUAUACAUGACAUGCUAUGUAUUCCUCAUUUUGAUGUAUAGGGACCAAUUUUUAAUAGUAGAAAUGGAUGGAAUUUUUAACA